CGGCCGCGUCGACCUUCGGGUUGUAAACUGCUUUUGUUAGGAACGAAACGGGUAGUACUAAUAAUGCUACCUAAUGACGGUACCUAAAGAAUAAGCACCGGCUAACUACGUGCCAGCAGCCGCGGUAAUACGUAGGGUGCAAGCGUUAAUCGGAAUUACUGGGUGUAAAGCGUGCGCAGGCGGCUUGAUAAGACAGGUGUGAAAUCCCCGAGCUCAACUUGGGAAUAGCACUUGUGACUGUCAGGCUAGAGUAUGUCAGAGGGAGGUGGAAUUCCAAGUGUAGCAGUGAAAUGCGUAGAUAUUUGGAAGAACACCGAUGGCGAAGGCAGCCUCCUGGGAUAAUACUGACGCUCAUGACACGAAAGCGUGGGGAGACAAACAGGAUUAGAUACCCUGGUAGUCCACGCCCUAAACGAUGUCUACUAGUUGUUAGGACCGAAUGGUUUAAGUAACACAGCUAACGACGAGAAGUACGACCGGCCGUAGGGGAGUACGGUCGACAAAGAAUUAAAACUACGAAAGGAAGUUGACGGGGGCCCGACACAAGCGGUAGGAGUAUAGUCGUAGGGAGGACG
rnacentral:rRNA from 1 species